UACGGAGGGUGCAAGCGUUAUCCGGAUUUACUGGGUUUAAAGGGUGCGUAGGUGGGCAGGUAAGUCAGCGGUGAAAUCUCCGAGCUUAACUCGGAAACUGCCAUUGAUACUAUCUGUCUUGAAUAUCCUGGAGGUGAGCGGAAUAUGUCAUGUAGCGGUGAAAUGCUUAGAUAUGACAUAGAACACCAAUUGCGAAGGCAGCUCACUAGGGGGUCAUUGACACUGAGACACGAAAGCGUGGGGAUCAAACAGG
rnacentral:rRNA from 1 species